CGCGUGUACUGGUCCGGCCGGGCCUUUCCCUCUGUGGAACCCCAUGCCCUUCACUGGGUGUGGCGGGGAAACAGGACUUUUACUUUGAAAAAAUUAGAGUGCUCCAGGCAGGCCUAUGCUCGAAUACAUUAGCAUGGAAUAAUAGAAUAGGACGUGUGGUUCUAUUUUGUUGGUUUCUAGGACCGCCGUGAUGAUUAAUAGGGACAGUCGGGGGCAUCAGUAUUCAAUUGUCAGAGGUGAAAUUCUUGGAUUUAUUGAAGACUAACUACUGCGAAAGCAUUUGCCAAGGAUGUUUUCAUUAAUCAGGAACGAAAGUUAGGGGAUCGAAGACGAUCAGAUACCGUCGUAGUCUUAACCAUAAACUAUGCCGACUAGGGAUCGGACGAUGUUAUUUUUUGACUCGUUCGGCACCUUACGAGAAAUCAAAGUGCUUGGGCUCCAGGGGGAGUAUGGUCGCAAGGCUGAAACUUAAAGAAAUUGACGGAAGGGCACCACCAGGGGUGGAGCCUGCGGCUUAAUUUGACUCAACACGGGGAAACUCACCAGGUCCAGACACAAUGAGGAUUGACAGAUUGAGAGCUCUUUCUUGAUUUUGUGGGUGGUGGUGCAUGGCCGUUCUUAGUUGGUGGAGUGAUUUGUCUGCUUAAUUGCGAUAACGAACGAGACCUUAACCUGCUAAAUAGCCCGUAUUGCUUUGGGCAGUACGCUGGCUUCUUAGAGGGACUAUCGG
rnacentral:rRNA from 1 species